rnacentral:rRNA from 1 species
AAAUCCGGUUCACUUUAACACUGAGGCGUGACGACGAGGCACUACGGUGCUGAAGCAACAAAUGCCCUGCUUCCAGGAAAAGCCUCUAAGCAUCAGGUAACAUCAAAUCGUACCCCAAACCGACACAGGUGGUCAGGUAGAGAAUACCAAGGCGCUUGAGAGAACUCGGGUGAAGGAACUAGGCAAAAUGGUGCCGUAACUUCGGGAGAAGGCACGCUGACACGUAGGUGAAGUGAUUUACUCAUGGAGCUGAAGUCAGUCGAAGAUACCAGCUGGCUGCAACUGUUUAUUAAAAACACAGCACUGUGCAAACACGAAAGUGGACGUAUACGGUGUGACGCCUGCCCGGUGCCGGAAGGUUAAUUGAUGGGGUCAGCGCAAGCGAAGCUCCUGAUCGAAGCCCCGGUAAACGGCGGCCGUAACUAUAACGGUCCUAAGGUAGCGAAAUUCCUUGUCGGGUAAGUUCCGACCUGCACGAAUGGCGUAAUGAUGGCCAGGCUGUCUCCACCCGAGACUCAGUGAAAUUGAACUCGCUGUGAAGAUGCAGUGUACCCGCGGCAAGACGGAAAGACCCCGUGAACCUUUACUAUAGCUUGACACUGAACAUUGAGCCUUGAUGUGUAGGAUAGGUGGGAGGCUUUGAAGUGUGGACGCCAGUCUGCAUGGAGCCGACCUUGAAAUACCACCCUUUAAUGUUUGAUGUUCUAACGUGGACCCGUUACCCGGGUUGCGGACAGUGUCUGGUGGGUAGUUUGACUGGGGCGGUCUCCUCCUAAAGAGUAACGGAGGAGCACGAAGGUUGGCUAAUCCUGGUCGGACAUCAGGAGGUUAGUGCAAUGGCAUAAGCCAGCUUGACUGCGAGCGUGACGGCGCGAGCAGGUGCGAAAGCAGGUCAUAGUGAUCCGGUGGUUCUGAAUGGAAGGGCCAUCGCUCAACGGAUAAAAGGUACUCCGGGGAUAACAGGCUGAUACCGCCCAAGAGUUCAUAUCGACGGCGGUGUUUGGCACCUCGAUGUCGGCUCAUCACAUCCUGGGGCUGAAGUAGGUCCCAAGGGUAUGGCUGUUCGCCAUUUAAAGUGGUACGCGAGCUGGGUUUAGAACGUCGUGAGACAGUUCGGUCCCUAUCUGCCGUGGGCGCUGGAGAACUGAGGGGGGCUGCUCCUAGUACGAGAGGACCGGAGUGGACGCAUCACUGGUGUUCGGGUUGUCAUGCCAAUGGCACUGCCCGGUAGCUAAAUGCGGAAGAGAUAAGUGCUGAAAGCAUCUAAGCACGAAACUUGCCCCGAGAUGAGUUCUCCCUGAGACUUAAAGUCUCCUGAAGGAACGUUGAAGACGACGACGUUGAUAGGCCGGGUGUGUAAGCGCAGCGAUGCGUUGAGCUAACCGGUACUAAUGAACC